rnacentral:misc_RNA from 1 species
ACAAACUUGGUCAUUUAGAGGAAGUAAAAGUCGUAACAAGGUCUCCGUUGGUGAACCAGCGGAGGGAUCAUUACUGAGUUCUAUAACUCCCACCCUAUGUGAACAUACUAUAGUUGCCUCGGCGCGGCUUCAGGGCCUCGCCGGUGGACCACUAAACUCUGAUUUAUCCACUGUAUCUCUGAAUUUAGUAACGAAAUACGUUAAAACUUUCAACAACGGAUCUCUUGGUUCUGGCAUCGAUGAAGAACGCAGC